rnacentral:rRNA from 1 species
AAAAGAAACCAACAGGGAUUGCCCUAGUAACGGCGAGUGAAGCGGCAAGAGCUCAAAUUUGAAAUCUGGCCCCCCACGGGGCCCGAGUUGUAAUUUGUAGAGGGUGCUUUGGCGAUGGUUGCGGCCUAAGUUCCUUGGAACAGGACGUCACAGAGGGUGAGAAUCCCGUAUGUGGCUGCCAGCCUCCGCCGUGUAAAGCCCCUUCGACGAGUCGAGUUGUUUG